GCACUCGCCGGGCAGGGGAGACACCGCGGCCACGGAGGCCACCUUCCCGGGGCGAGGCUUCUCCGCGGCAGCCUGAUGCGCUGACCCCGAGAUCUCCCCAAAUGUGGGAGACUCAGCCACGUAAUUUUUGGUGGUGGGGGACCGAGUUCGAGCUCUCCCCUG